GGCAGGGGUCCCAUGGAGAUGCUGUGUUGGUAGAAGGAAGCCUUCCUACCCCAUCAAGAACCCUUUACUGGACAGUGGAUGUGACUGACAUAGAAACCCAUCCGUAUCCCUCUAUUCUCCUCCCCUUCCAGCCCCAUUCUCCUGACCCUGGACACCUCUGCCUUGCCCUUUGCCCAGGGGGCCUUUUUCAAAGACCUAUUCUUCCUUCUGCACCUGCACUGGGUAGCUCCUCCUCCUGCAGGAAGCUGUCCCAGCCCACUCCAGCGGGGUCUGGAGCCCUCGUCAGUGCUCCUGAUCGUGGCGUGCCUCACUAGAUCUAAACCAGUUCGAGGACUUCUUUGAGCCGCUUCUCACAUUGGGCCUGGGCACGGUGCAGCAAGAAGAUCUGCUCCUCUUUGGUCAUGACGUCAUCUGCAUCCACCUACCAAGCCGAAGGUCAGAUUGCAGGCAGGACUUCCCAGCAGAGCGGCAGACUCCACAACUAUCCCAACCUCCUUGAGGGAUUCCCCCCCCCUUUCCAAAGAAUGCGGGAAAUCUGCCUUAUGUAGCUCCAUUGUACAGACGGGAAGCCUCGGCUUCAAGGGGAAGGGCCUGCCCCACCAUAGGGAAAAAAGGGGGAGGGGUGCUGUCCCCUGCUUGCCCGAUAGUAACCCCAUAGGCUGCAGCCACUGAUAUUCUCUGUCCAGUCUGUUCCCCAGGGGUACAUGGGAAAGGGAUGGAAUGUCCCAGGGUGGAUCCUCACAGGAUCCUGGCUGUCUAUUGGGGACCUGGGUGGAGAGGGGGUGGAUAAGGGGUGGUGAACUCUGGGGAAAGAAACGGGGCCUGGAUUCCUUCAAGUCCUAGUGCCCUCGGGACCUUGGGAGUCACCAAUUUCCAUCCUGGCCCUCUCCCCAGUCAGUGCUUUCCCCGUGAAUGGAGAGUGCCUCAACUCCUCCCACCCUUGAGGUCCCAAGAGGGAGAGGAUGGAGAAAUUGCUGGCAAGUGGUCUGGGUUGGGCGGGGCACUCCUGUGCAGGCUGUGGGUGGGAGUCACCCACAUCCAUUGCUUAUCUGGAAGUUUCCCUACAUCCAAGUAGACCCUGUGUUCUGAUGAUGUGGACCGGCCUUUGCUCCCGCUGUUCCCUCUGCCUGGAAUGUCCUUCCUUUCUUUCCUUCCAGCAUGUACACCCUGGGUAUUGGCUGCCACCCACGAGGAUUCACUGGCAUCAUUUUAAGGAAGGGAGCAGGAACGUCACGGAGGUGGGGUACCUCUGUCAGUAACCACCACCACCAUCACCACCACAACCAACACCACCAACACAACCACGCCGCCCACCGCCAAUACCACCGAUACCACCGGCAGCGGCAGCAGCAGCACCACCAUUACCCCCAUGAGCACUAACUACUAUUACCAUCGGUAUACCCACCAUCAUCACCAUCACAACUGGUAGAACAUCAUUACCAUCACCACCACCAGUGCUGUUUCCACCAGCACGAUUACCACCGUGACCAUCACCACCACCUCCAGUAUUACCACCAGCAUUGCCAUCCCCACCAGCACCAUUACCACCAAAGGCAACAUCAGCACCAUCACUGCCACCAGCCCCAUAACCACGGCAAAACAAAGGAGGAAAUACAAGGGAUCCUUCUUCAGCUGCUGACACCUCUGUCUCUGGGAAAGAGGCUCCUUCUACUGCUUGGUGUCAGCCUCAGGAUGCCCUCUUGGGUCAUCUCAUCUAUCGCUCUGACUGGCGUCAGCCUGCUCCCCCAGCGGAAGACAGCUGCUGGCUUCUUGCUCACCUCUAGAGAAAGCAGAUCUACCAACAUUCAUCCCUGGAUGUGACCGGUGUCUCCCACCCCACGAAAGCCCCUCUACAUGUUGGCAACAGCCAUUGCCCCCGGAGCUUUAACCACAUCUCCUUCAACAUCCCCAUCUUACGAAUGAGGCCACUGAGGCGAGAGUACAGUUCGAAAGAAGGGGGCCAGGAAUGGAGCUAAGGUCUGCUUGAUACUGAAGCAACAACCCCAGAGGAAGGGAAAGAAAGGAGGAAGUACCCCGCCACGUGGGUCCUCUAGUGACAGCCUCAAUACCAGUUUUCCACAGAGUUCUUCUGGAUUCUGUCUUUCACUGUGUCAAGCAAGAGCCUCUUUGCAGAGCACCUAAGGCAGCUUCCACAAAGGGAGACACAGAGCAGUGAUGCUCAGAGAAGCAGAAGAUAGGAGGACCCUAACCACAGAUUUCCAGACCUGGGACCCCAACCCAGUCUUCAGAAAUAGGUCUUCCUGGAUCUGCUUCUGAGCCCCCAGCAGAGUAAGACGUCUCCUAGGUCUUCCUGGAUCUGCUUCUGAGCCCCCAGCACAGCUCUGCCAGGAUCUUGUCUGCUGGGCUGUCAUUCCCAAGGGGCAUGGAGCCCAGGCUGGGACCUGGGAGAGAGAG